GUGGGGAAUAUUGCACAAUGGGCGCAAGCCUGAUGCAGCAACGCCGCGUGAGGGACGACGGCCUUCGGGUUGUAAACCUCUUUUAGCAAGGAAGAAGCGAAAGUGACGGUACUUGCAGAAAAAGCACCGGCUAACUACGUGCCAGCAGCCGCGGUAAUACGUAGGGUGCAAGCGUUAUCCGGAAUUAUUGGGCGUAAAGAGCUCGUAGGCGGUUUGUCGCGUCUGCUGUGAAAACUGGGGGCUCAACCCCCAGCCUGCAGUGGGUACGGGCAGACUAGAGUGCGGUAGGGGAGAUUGGAAUUCCUGGUGUAGCGGUGGAAUGCGCAGAUAUCAGGAGGAACACCGAUGGCGAAGGCAGAUCUCUGGGCCGUAACUGACGCUGAGGAGCGAAAGGGUGGGGAGCAAACAGG
rnacentral:rRNA from 1 species